UCUGCACAGCUGCACUGCUGUCCACAACAGAGGGUCAACCUAUAGGCCCACAGCUACGAUGCAAAUGCCCUAAAAUAUAUUCAGAGCCAGCAAUUCCAGCUGAAAAAGUACUCUCACUGAGGUUUAUUUCUGCUGGACCCACACUGCAAAAAUGAUGAGAUCAUUGCCACAAUGAAGAAAGGACAGACGUGUCUUGAUCCUACUAAAGACUGGGUGUGAUUUCUCUCAAAGAAGAAAUCAACAAGAGGAACCUCAAGAGCCAACAAUGAAUGAAUAACACUGU